CCUACGGGAGGCAGCAGUAGGGAAUCUUUCACAAUGGGCGAAAGCCUGAUGGAGCAACGCCGCGUGCAGGAUGAAGGCCUUCGGGUUGUAAACUGCUUUUAUAAGCGAGAAAUAUGAUGGUAACUUAUGAAUAAGGAUCGGCUAACUACGUGCCAGCAGCCGCGGUCAUACGUAGGAUCCGAGCAUUAUCCGGAGUGACUGGGUGUAAAGAGUUGCGUAGGUGGCAUAAUAAGUAGCUAGUGAAAUCUGGUGGCUCAACCAUUCAGACUAUUAGCUAAACUGUUAAGCUCGAGACCGUUAGGGGUAACUGGAAUUUCUAGUGUAGGAGUGAAAUCCGUAGAUAUUAGAAGGAACACCAAUAGCGUAGGCAGGUUGCUGGGACGGUUCUGACACUAAGGCACGAAAGCGUAGGGAGCAAACGGGAUUAGAUAACCCAGUAGUC
rnacentral:rRNA from 1 species